rnacentral:rRNA from 1 species
UGCUGUGAAAUACAGUGGCCCAACCACUGGACUGCAGCGCGAACUGUCGGGCUUGAGGGCGCACGACGCAGGCGGAAUUUGUGGUGUAGCGGUGAAAUGCUUAGAUAUCACGAAGAACCCCGAUUGCGAAGGCAGCUUGCGGGAGCGCGACUGACGCUGAAGCUCGAAAGUGCGGGUAUCAAACAGGAUUAGAUACCCUGGUAGUCCGCACGGUAAACGAUGGAUGCCCGUUCUGCGGCCUUCGGGCCGCGGGACCAAGCGAAAGCAUUAAGCAUCCCACCUGGGGAGUACGCCGGCAACGGUGAAACUCAAAGGAAUUGACGGGGGCCCGCACAAGCGGAGGAACAUGUGGUUUAAUUCGAUGAUACGCGAGGAACCUUACCCGGGCUUGAAUUGCAGACUAAUGCGGCGGAGACGCCGCAGUCCUUCGGGAAGUCUGUGAAGGUGCUGCAUGGUUGUCGUCAGCUCGUGCCGUGAGGUGUCGGCUUAAGUGCCAUAACGAGCGCAACCCCUAUUUUCAGUUGCCAUCAGUUUAAGCUGGGCACUCUGGAGAGACUGCCGCCGCAAGGUGUGAGGAAGGCGGGGAUGACGUCAAAUCAGCACGGCCCUUACGUCCGGGGCUACACACGUGUUACAAUGGCCGGUACAACAAGAAGGCUGCCCGCAAGGUCAGUCAAAUCCUGAAAACCGGUCUCAGUUCGGACUGGAGUCUGCAACCCGACUCCACGAAGCUGGAUUCGCUAGUAAUCGCGCAUCAGCCAUGGCGCGGUGAAUACGUUCCCGGGCCUUGUACACACCGCCCGUCAAGCCAUGAAAGCCGGGAGUGCCUGAAGUCCGUGACCGGAAGGGUCGGCCUAGGGCAAAACCGGUAAUUGGGGCUAAGUCGUAACAAGGUAACCGUA